GACGAACGCUGGCGGCGUGCCUAAUACAUGCAAGUAGAACGCUGAAGGAGGAGCUUGCUUCUCUGGAUGAGUUGCGAACGGGUGAGUAACACGUAGGUAACCUGCCUGGUAGCGGGGGAGAACUCUUGGAAACGCUAGAUAAUACCGCAUAAGAGUAGAUGUCGCAUGACAUUUGCUUAAAAGGUGCAAUUGCAUCACUACCAGAUGGACCUGCGUUGGAUUAGCUAGUUGGUGAGGUAACGGCUCACCAAGGCAACGAUACAUCGCCGACCUGGGAGGGGGAUCGGCCACACUGGGACUGAGACACGGCCCAGACUCCUACGGGAGGCAGCAAUAGGGGAUCUUCGGCAAUUGACGGAAGGCUGACCGAGCAACGCCGCGUGAGGGGAGAAGGUUUUCGGAUCGUAAAGCUCUGUUGUAAGGGAAGAAAGAGUGUGGGAGUGGAAAGUUCACACUGUGACGGUAUCUAACCAGAAAGGGACGGCUAACUACGUG
rnacentral:rRNA from 1 species